rnacentral:SRP_RNA from 1 species
UCGUCGCCGAGUAAUUGGGUUGGAUCAAGCAGUGUUGAAGUUUCAAUCUGUUGCAAUGGGCAGCAGGUAAAUCCCGUCAGGCCCGGAAGGGAGCAGCGGUAAGCCUUGCGACCCAUGUGCUGGCAGACCUCUGGAACUGAGCUGGCUGGUUCGGGUUAAAUUAUGUUCGGGAUGGUCAAACGACGGUGCACGG